CCUACGGGGGGCUGCAGUGAGGAAUAUUGGUCAAUGGGCGCGAGCCUGAACCAGCCAAGUAGCGUGAAGGAUGACUGCCCUACGGGUUGUAAACUUCUUUUAUACAGGAAUAAAAUGAUGCACGUGUGCAUUUUUGUAUGUACUUUAUGAAUAAGGAUCGGCUAACUCCGUGCCAGCAGCCGCGGUAAUACGGAGGAUCCGAGCGUUAUCCGGAUUGAUUGGGUUUAAAGGGAGCGUAGAUGGGUGGUUAAGUCAGUGGUAAAAUUGAGGGGCUCAACCCCUUCCCGCCAUUGAAACUGGCGCGCUUGAGUGGAAGAGAGGCAGGCGGAAUGCGUGGUGUAGCGGUGAAAUGCAUAGAUAUCACGCAGAACCCCGAUUGCGAAGGCAGCAUGCCGGCUUCCUACUGACGCUGAAGCACGAAAGCGUGGGGAUCGAACAGGAUUAGAUACCCGGGUAGUC
rnacentral:rRNA from 1 species